rnacentral:rRNA from 1 species
AUUGAACGCUGGCGGCAGGCUUAACACAUGCAAGUCGAGCGGUAGCACAGGGGAGCUUGCUCCCUGGGUGACGAGCGGCGGACGGGUGAGUAAUAUCUGGGAAACUGCCUGAUGGAGGGGGAUAACUACUGGAAACGGUAGCUAAUACCGCAUAACGUCGCAAGACCAAAGAGGGGGACCUUCGGGCCUCUUGCCAUCAGAUGUGCCCAGAUGGGAUUAGCUAGUAGGUGGGGUAAUGGCUCACCUAGGCGACGAUCCCUAGCUGGUCUGAGAGGAUGACCAGCCACACGGGAACUGAGACACGGUCCAGACGCCUACGGGAGGCAGCAGUGGGGAAUAUUGCACAAUGGGCGCAAGCCUGAUGCAGCCAUGCCGCGUGUGUGAAGAAGGCCUUCGGGUUGUAAAGCACUUUCAGCGAGGAGGAAGGUGGUGAGCUUAAUACGUUCAUCAAUUGACGUUACUCGCAGAAGAAGCACCGGCUAACUCCGUG